rnacentral:rRNA from 1 species
CACGUAGGGCGCGAGCGUUGUCCGGAAUUAUUGGGCGUAAAGAGCUCGUAGGCGGCCUGUUGCGUCCGCUGUGAAAGCCCGGGGCUUAACCCCGGGUCUGCAGUGGAUACGGGCAGGCUAGAGGUAGGUAGGGGAGAAUGGAAUUCCCGGUGUAGCGGUGAAAUGCGCAGAUAUCGGGAGGAACACCAAUGGCGAAGGCAGCUCGCUGGGACGUGACUGACGC